GGGAAGUGUCUGACCCACUUAUCUAUGGGAAAAGGUCUUUAAUCCUCUAUUUCUUUGUGUUUAAGCCAUGUGCCCAGAAUCCCAGGCUGGUCUUUCUAAAAUAGUGAAUUCCUAGGCCACUAGGUAACAACACAGUUCAUCUGAACACAGGCGAUGUGGAAAAGGCAGGGCCAUUUGUUCCCUUUAGAGAAAAUGAAUGACGUUAUUCCUACUUCCCAAUACCCUUGCAAUGGCAAUGGAAAUUUUGUUUUCUUUCUAUACAGGAAAAAUAAUGUUAUUUUUAAAAAGGCUUCUCAUUUGUUGUUUGCAUUCUAACCCCUGUGGUUUUAAAGGAAAAAUAAUAUACCACUUUUGUACAAAAG
rnacentral:lncRNA from 1 species